GACGAACGCUGGCGGCGUGCCUAAUACAUGCAAGUCGAACGAGUGGCGGACGGGUGAGUAAUGUCUGGGAAACUGCCCGAUGGAGGGGGAUAACUACUGGAAACGGUAGCUAAUACCGCAUCCCAUCGGAUGUGCCCAGAUGGGAUUAGCUAGUAGGUGGGGUAACGGCUCACCUAGGCGCCGAUCCCUAGCUGGUCUGAGAGGAUGACCGGCCACAAGGGAACUGAGACACGGUCCAGACUCCUACGGGAGGCAGCAGUGGGGAAUAUUGCACAAGGGGGGAAACCAUGAUGCAGCAACGCCGCGCGCGGGAUGACGGCCUUCGGGUUGUAAACCGCUUUCAGCCAUGACGCGGUAGUGGCAGAAGAAGCACCGGCUAACUACGUGCCAGCAGCCGCGGUAAUAC
rnacentral:rRNA from 1 species